ensembl:lncRNA
GCUUGGAUUUCAUGGAAGGAGCCAGCAGCUGAUACCAGUUUGUUAUCCUGUCUCCAUAGUACCCAGAUAUGCAUUUGAAGAAGAUCCCCCUUGAUUCUACAUGGUGAGUGAAUUGGCAAGACCAGCUGCAGGACAGCAGUUAGGAGCCUGCUGUAGAAGGCCAGGCAUCACAGCUCAGUCACGCUCACAGUGUGUGUCACAAGACCCAUGGGUCUGAAGAAACAGCCGCACACAGCCAAAAACCAAAAUGUCGCAGGCUGCUGGGCAAAGAAAGGUCGACCUACAGCGGACGACAGGGAGAGAGCAUUGUUGGCAGCCACCUCCAAACAGCCUUGCUGAUCAUCAGUAAAUGAGAGGGAUGAAAGUAAACAGCAAAUAAAGAAAUAUAUAACAAGAUUAGAGAACCAUCACAGAAGAAAGGAAGACACUUAAUAUUCUAGGACCUUAAAUGGCAAUUUUUUCUUGAUUUUUGAACAAGGGGUCCUGUAUUUUCAUUUUACACUGGGCCUCACAAAUUAUGUAGCCAAACUGGAGCCUAGAAGACUUCCUAUGUCUCCCUGGCCACAGUGGUCAUUGGCAAGAAAAAUGGGUUUACUAUGAUCAGUGAGAGAAUGAAGACAAUGGCUAUGAGGAAAAGGAUUCUGACAGGAAGGAGGAAAGGGAAUGAAUGACUGUUGGAUGGUGCAAUGGAUUGAAGGCAUCCCCCCUCCUAGCUCAUAUGUUGAAACAGCCCUAAUCCCAACAUGAGAGGUGAAGUACUUGGGAGGUAAUUAGCCUGCGAAGGUGGAGCCCUCAUAGAUGGGAUUAGUGCCCUUCUCAGAGGAGGCUGGAAAGCAAGCCCUCUUUUUGCCACAUGAGAAUCCAAAAACAAGCCAGCUCUCUGUAACCUGGAAGAAAGCUCUCACCAGAACUGGACCAUGCCAGCACCAUGAUCUCAGACUUCCAGCCUUCAGAACUGUGAGAAAUAAACUUCAGCUGUUGUUAAGCCACCCAGUUUAUGGCAUUUUGUUAUAGCAGCCCAAACUGGCCAAGACAGGUGGGCAACCAAACACAUGUGCUUCACCUGGGUGAACGUGUUUUAAAUACACACUGCAGGCAAUUCUUACAUAUGCUAAAAGACUUUUCCACAUUGUGUCUGGCUGAGAAGAAUUAAAUGGUAGUUUGCUCUUCCAUUGGUGCUUCCAUUCCAAUGGUAGCACGUUUGAUUAAGUGUUUCUUUUUAUUUUUUGAGCAUCUUUGGGACUAACUGCACAUACUUUGAGAAUCAAG